GAUGAACGCUAGCUACAGGCUUAACACAUGCAAGUCGAGGGGAAACGGCAUUGAGUGCUUGCACUCUUUGGACGUCGACCGGCGCACGGGUGAGUAACGCGUAUCCAACCUUCCCAUUACUGUGGGAUAACCUGCCGAAAGGCAGACUAAUACCGCAUAGUCUUCGAUGACGGCAUCAGAUUUGAAGUAAAGAUUUAUCGGUAAUGGAUGGGGAUGCGUCUGAUUAGCUUGUUGGCGGGGUAACGGCCCACCAAGGCAACGAUCAGUAGGGGUUCUGAGAGGAAGGUCCCCCACAUUGGAACUGAGACACGGUCCAAACUCCUACGGGAGGCAGCAGUGAGGAAUAUUGGUCAAUGGACGGAAGUCUGAACCAGCCAAGUAGCGUGCAGGAUGACGGCCCUAUGGGUUGUAAACUGCUUUUGUAUGGGGAUAAAGUUAGGGACGUGUCCCUAUUUGCAGGUACCAUACGAAUAAGGACCGGCUAAUUCCGUGCCAGCAGCCGCGGUAAUACGGAAGGUCCAGGCGUUUAUCCGGAUUUAUUGGGUUUAAAGGGAGCGUAGGCUGGAGAUUUAAGUGUGUUGUGAAAUGUAGACGCUCAACGUCUGAAUUGCAGCGCAUUACUGGUUUUCCUUGAGUACGCACAACGUUGGCGGAAUUCGUCGUGUAUGCGGGUGAAAUUGCUUAUAUAUGACGAAGAACUCCGAUUGCGAUGGCAGCUGACUGGAGCGCAACUGACGCUUAAGCUCGAAAGUGCGGGUAUCAAACAGG
rnacentral:rRNA from 1 species